AACGCACGAGACCUGCGGACCUGCGGAGGGAUCAUUAAUGAGAAGCUGCCCCUCGUGGGUAGACCUCCCACCCUCUGUGAACUUACCUUUGUUGCUUUGGCAGGCCCGUCCUCUGGACCGCCGGCUUCGGCUGGCCCGUGCCUGCCAGAGGAUUCCAAACCCUGUCUGUCAGUGUUGCCUGAGUCUAUAUGAAAUCGUUAAAACUUUUAACAACGGAUCUCUAGAUCGGAAGAGCACACG
rnacentral:misc_RNA from 1 species